rnacentral:pre_miRNA from 1 species
GACCCUGGCCUGCACUCUGUCUGUAUGUUUAUUGAAGGGAGCGCAGGGCAGGGUUUC